UACGAAGGGGGCUAGCGUUGCUCGGAAUCACUGGGCGUAAAGCGCACGUAGGCGGAUUGUUAAGUCAGGGGUGAAAUCCUGGAGCUCAACUCCAGAACUGCCUUUGAUACUGGCGAUCUUGAGUUCGGGAGAGGUGAGUGGAACUGCGAGUGUAGAGAUGAAAUUCGUAGAUAUUCGCAAGAACACCAGUGGCGAAGGCGGCUCACUGGCCCGAUACUGACGCUGAGGUGCGAAAGCGUGGGGAGCAAACAGG
rnacentral:rRNA from 1 species